rnacentral:lncRNA from 1 species
GAGAGCGUUUAGGGAGCUGAUGUCUUUUGGAUGUGGGUAGAUGGCAGGAACUGAAGAAAGAAAAAUUUAAACGCUGGUUGAUCCAGAGUUCCGAGACCUGGCAUUGCCACUAAUGGAGGCUUCCACAGCGUGGCACAAUCAGAAGUACCUGGGGAAGCCAGAAGAGGGUGUUGGAUCUCCCGGAAUUGGAGAGAGGCAGCUGGUGUGGGUGCCUGAAGUAGACUGUGGGUCUGGUCUGCAUGGCAUUGGUGGUAUCGUGAGCCAAGCACCCUGGAGCUGCAGUUUCCUUGUACUCAACUACUGAGGAAUUCUUGGGAAGAAGCUGCUGAGCCAUUGCUCUGAGAGAGAGAUCCAGUGAUACACAGACUCUCCAACCUCAACAUGUUCAAGGAGAGUGGAGGAAAGAGGACCUGAGUUCAAUUCCCAAAACCUAUGGAGCAACUGCCUGUACUUCCAGUUUCAGGGAACCUGAUGACAUCUUUUGG